rnacentral:rRNA from 1 species
UACGUAGGGUGCGAGCGUUAAUCGGAAUUACUGGGCGUAAAGCGUGCGCAGGCGGUUUGUAAGCCAGAUGUGAAAUCCCCGGGCUCAACCUGGGAAUGGCAUUUGGGACUGCAAGGCUGGAGUGUGGCAGAGGAGACUGGAAUUCCUGGUGUAGCAGUGAAAUGCGUAGAUAUCAGGAGGAAUACCGAUGGCGAAGGCAGGUCUCUGGGCUGACACUGACGCUCAUGCACGAAAGCGUGGGGAGCAAACAGG